AUAAGUUAAGUUGAACAAACGAAGUGGAGAUGCUAUGACAGCUAGGAUGUUGGCUUGGAAGCAGCCAUUCAUUUAAAGAGUGCGUAACAGCUCACUAGUCGAGCGUUUCUGCGCGGAAAAUGAUCGGGCAUCAAACUUAUCACCGAAGCUAUGGAUUGAUUUCUUUUAGAAAUCACUGGUAGGGGAGCAUUCCAGCGACAUUGAAGUUGUAUCGUGAGAUAUGGUGGAGUUUCUGGAAAAGAAAAUGUAGGCAUAAGUAACGAUUAAAUAAGUGGAAAACUUAUUCGCCGUAAGACUAAGGGUUCCUCGAUCUAUGCUAAUCAGAUCAGGGUUAGUCGGGUCCUAAGGUAUAGCCGAGAGGCGAAGCCGAUGGCAAGCUGGUUAAUAUUCCAGCACCUGUGUAUAUUGCGAUGGGGUGACGAAGGAGCGUAAAGUCCGCCAACUUACGGAAUAGUUGGUUAAAGUGCGUAGGUGUU
rnacentral:rRNA from 1 species